AGUCUUAUAGUCAAUAAUGAUAUAAAAUUGCAAAUUUUAAGGAGUAAAUAAAAUAUACUAAGGCUU
rnacentral:tRNA from 1 species